ACAUCCUCUCCCCCUCAGCUCUCCUCCUGCAUCACUGGUUUUCCAGGUGAUGUGCACCAUGUCAUCUCUCCACAUCUGCUGCUUCAUCUGCUUCUCUGCUUCUCACCAAUACACUCUUGCACUUCCACCUCUUCCCACCUCUGCCAAUCCUAUGCAAUACCCCUCAACUAAGUGCACAUUUUCCAUUCACAAAAUGCAAGAGGAAAACUUUUGUGCUGGAAAUCUCAUAUUGUUUCUCCACCACCAUGGAGAAGGUGACAUCUUCCGAACUCCUUGCUCCUCGUUCUCCCCCAUAUGCAAGCUGCUUUUGAGUGUGUUUUUUCUUCCUCCGCGUAGUUCUAAGAUCCAUUUCUCCCAGGGAAUCUUUAAUCUUUAGUUGCCCGGAGAAGCUGUGGAUGCUCCAUCCCUGGAGGUGUUCAAUCAAGGCUGCGUUGGCUGGAGCCCUGGGCAGCCUGAUCUGAUGGGUGGGAGCCCUGCCCGCAGCAAGGGAUUGGAAAUAAGUGGGCUUAAGGCCCCUUCCAACCCAAGCCAUUCCGUGAUUCUGUGAUGAACUUUUCCUUCUUUCUCAGUUUGGGGUCUCUCUUUUCCCCACUGCAGCAGAUAUAGUUUCUCCUCACUGAGCAGCAGCAUCUCACCACCCCUGUGCCCCUUGGGUGCCCGCUGUUUUCCCCUUUGAUUUCAGGCCUCACUUUGAGGUCCUGCAUCAUUUUGCCAUGGACUUAAUUCUGGAUUUGUGUGCUCCCAUACAUUGUGGUAGAUCCCAGCUUUCCUCUGAUCACUUCCUGCCUUACCUCUUCGUACUUUCCUCUGACGGCUCUAGCUCAUGCCACCCUUUUUCUUAAGUCUGGUCUGGUGAAACAAACCCACUCUGUCUUCAUUCUGAUCUCCCUAUAAAACAUGCUACUGCCACAAAGCCUAUCCAGCUCAGAUUCAUCUGCUGAAAUAUAUUCCUCUAUAAUAAAAACAAAUCUUGUUUCAUAAGAAAGUAAAACUGAGCAAGAGACCGAGUACACAAUUAAUUUUUGCCAGGUGCUUUCUGCCAAGAGCAACACACUUGUUCUCAUUCCCCUCUUCAAUUGCCCUCCCCACAUGCCUCUGUUUGUCCUUUUGUUUUGUUAUCAGCUUCCCAGUCCUUCCUGAGGGGUCCUGGGCUGAUCCUGUGCUCUCACUGGUGUAAGGAGAAACGUCACUGCAGCAAGCAGAGCUUUGCCAAGGUUACAGUGCUGUGAAAGGAAGGCGAAUCACCCUUUGUUUUAAUACUAGCUCAUAAAGACUACACAGCUCCAGUACAGCGCUUUUCUUUUAAUUAGUCAUGAUUAGCAUAUACAUCUCCAUACUCUCUUUUUUCCCUUUGUGGGCUCAACUACUUUGAAGAAAGACUCUUUGCAUGCCUUCUCAGUUAUCCUAUAUCUUACAUUAAAAAAAAAAAGACUCUGGAAGCCUAGGUCCCACUGAACUCCCACACACAGCCGAGGAGAGCUGCUCACCGUGCCAGGAGCAGCUCAUUCCCAGCCUGCCGCCCCUUCCCUGGCGUUGGCACAACCUGGCUGCAGUGACUUCCAGUCCUAAUUGGAGCCUUUGGGCACGAUUGUGUUAUUAUUAUUUAAUAAACAACCACAUAAAACGCUGGCUGACAUUUAAAUAAGAGUAAAGAAAGGGAAGCUCUGACUCCUAGGCUGUUUUGUUUUGCUGUUGACCUGCAGGAGCAGGUUCUCUACACAAUACGUGUGCUUGCGUGGCUCAUGCUCACCUUUAGGGUUUUAGGGAAGACACUAAAAGGGAACAGACGUAUUGCAGCAGUCAGUCCCUGUUGCAACAUAAGCUGCAGAUAUGUAGCUGUCACCUGGGCAUUCUCAAGUGAAAUGCACCCAUGCUCAUCUGAAGGGCCAUCAGGAUAAUCCUAGUGAGAAUAAACGAAAGAGAGAACUUUGCUUUUGCAUUUGGUUGUAAGUUGCAGACAUUCAGAAGAGGAGUUAUCGUAGCAAAAGAAAAUAUUCUGUCCUUGAAGGGAUCUCAAAGGAGCACAACAUGUUCAAUAAGGUUUUGAAAGGAAAGAAAACAAAGAGCUGAAGGCCAGAGCUGACUCCUUCAGAAACAAGUAUAAAAUGCAGGACUCAAAGUACUUAAAAUACUUCAGUGACAAGCAACAAAGAAACGUCUGUUACUAUAAUUGCUUGCAUUAAGUAACGAGCCAGAAAAUCUUGAGAACUUUCUAAAAAGUAGAUAUUUGAUGUGUCGGGAGUGUAAGAACAAAAUUCUCUCAGGCCAUGGCCAGAGCCCUGAAUCAGCAGAACUCUUUUCCUUGAAGAAAGUGAAAACCAGAGGAGGGUGAGUACAUGUGCCCUUAUUAUCUUUUCUCGUGGUGGAUCAAAGAGGUGGCAUUCUCAGGGUUGCCAGUUUCCUGCAAUGAAUCUGGAGUGCAGGGCUUAUUUCUCUGUUAGGCAACUUCUCAAAUGCACUAGUCUUGUAAUGGACUUCUUAUGAGAUCUGAAUCUUAUUUACUAGCUUGCAUAUGGUAUAAUUGUUUUAAAGGUAUUCAGUAGGAGUGAAGCAUUCCUGCCAUUUAGAAAAAUUAUAUACAUAUAUGCUUUAAUUCGAGGGUGUUCACCCCUCGUUCUUCCCACCAUUUCAUUACCUGCUUGCUCUCCCUAUGUUAUAUAUUAAAAGCUUCAUGGAGUGGUUUGCUUGCAUUUACAUAUGCGAAUGGUAAUAGUUCUGUGAUGUUGCUUGGAACUUCUGCAUGAACAUGUUAUAUAAAGUCAGUAUGGGCAUGACAAAUGUAUUGCAGAUUUUUCAUAGAUAAACACAGGCAGUGAAGGCGAAUAUGAAUGAGUUUGUGCACAAGCUUUAAUAUCUAGGCAGAGCUUGUAUGUGCGUAACACCUGUAACCACAACUGUCAGUGCAAACAGGGAAACUCGUUUUAAGGCAUUUGUGCUGAUUUAAAAGUGCUGGACUUUGAAAUACUUCAGCUGGCAUGGUGCAAAUGUGUUCAUCCUCUGGCAGAUACUUAAGUGCAUAAACUCUGUUAUUAAAGAAUACAAACUUUAUUAGCAGUUGAUAUUCCACAGAUGUUGGGAAAACAGGUACCCAAAUGGUGAGAAUCCUUUGUGCGGCAGGUGAUGGCUUCUAAAGACAUUAUGUAGAUCUUACUGGGACAUGGAUUAAAAAGUGCUAGUUAAUGGUCUUUGAUGGUCUUUGGGAGAUGAGCAUUAAGCAUGGAGAAUUUUUUAGAAGACAAAAUGGAAGUGUAUAAGAAAAGUGGUGGAUUUGCUUUAGUGCCUGUGUAGCUGGUAGUAGGGAGUUUUCUUAUGAAAGACACUCCAGGGGUAUGCAGCGUAAGGAGGAAAUGGGGGCUGUUUGAGCAUGAACUCUAUACAGAUUAUAUGGAAUAAUCUUCUCUGGAAGGGAGACCAAGUGUCUAUUUCUUGUGAGAGCACUGAAACAAGCAUAGCAUAUAUUAAAAAUGUAGAGAAGUAUGCUCUGUAAAGUUUUCUGGUGCAUUUUAUCAAAGCUGUUCAUGUUACAGGAAGAAAAAGAUACAUGGAAGUUUGGGGUUUUAAUCAACAAAACGAGAAAACAAACAUUUCUCAACCUUUUCUUUGUUCCUGAAUACAACCUUAUCUUGUUUUGUUACUUGCUGGAGGUAAAGUUGGCCUGAAUUGUCCUGCAGAAUAUUUCCUAGAUACAGAGUUCAGGUUCAACAUCUGAAGGAAACUGUUUCUCUGUUCAACCUACUCAUUCAGUGUAUGAAGUAUGUUCCACCUACUCAUUCAGAAUAACACCAUACGAAGUAGCUAUUGAACUGCUGUAAGAGAAGUUCUGUUUCGUAGGGAGAGGAAAUGAACUUACCUUUGUGUUUGCAUCUCUUUAGAGCUUAGCAUAAGAGACUUAUUCAUGGCAAAUCAAAAGAAGACUGUCUUCCAAAUGCCCAGUAGAUUGAAGAAGGUGAUUGGGAGCAUCUGUAUCUCCCCAUUUGUCACUUUUGCUUGUUGGUUGCUCCUGCAGAAUACCUGGAAACAUCAGUUAAACAAACAAACACCCCCAAAAACAAAACAAAUUAAAAAAAAGACACAAAAUAUAAAUAAAUGACAUUAGUCUCAUUGUACUUUAGAACUCCUUUUUUUCUGUAUAGCAUUAGGAUGAUGUCAGAGUUUGAUUAUAGGUUAGGCUGUUCCAAUAAGAGCAAUUAAUCUGGGGGCAAAAGCUGGUGAGGACCCUGUCAGACACUGAACAAUGUUUUUGGUUUUCAUGCACUGAAUCAUCAGUGUUUAUAGGCCUCCAACAUGUAAAUCACCCUGAGGUAAUCUGGAAGGGAAGGAUAUGAAUAAGCCAAUUAAAUUGGCAAAGAGCCUAAGGAACACCCUGUUUAGGGAUAAAAUCACAUGCCUGUCCUUGUGUCAAUAGUUCUGGAGAAAGAAAUGGAACUCAAGCCCUUGUAAUUAAUUUCUUUGCAGAUACACGUGAUUUAGAAGACUUUGGUCUUCUCUUUUUGUAUGUAUGAGCUCAGGUGACUGAGAUAAGGUGUUUUGUGCAAGUAACUCUUAUUUUGAUGACACAGAAGGAUGUCAUCCAGGUUGCAGAGGGUGUAGGAACUAGUUGCCUCACAUAUGGUAAUUACUUCUUAUUCAGUUUUAUGAUAUGAAUAUACAAAGGACUGAAUUGCCCUUUAUCUUUCCAAGUACCUCCUUUUUUUUUCCUUUGGAAAGGGAGGCACAAUUUUCCACUAGGAAACCUCCACCCAACUCUGCAGUUACCAGCAUACUUUAAGGUGCUCUGUAUCUAAAUAACAAAAACAACUGAUUUUUCCUACCAUAUGGCAAGCCCAUGCCAUCAAAGGCAUGAUGUAACGGCAAAAAAGGUAGAGGUGAAAAACAUUUUUCUUUGGAAGUUGUGAAGAGGGAAAAACAUUUGCAUUCUUAGUUUAAUUUUUCACAAGAUAAAUGGGCAAAUGGGUACUUCCUGUGCUUUUAAGAGGGUUGCUGCAUUUGCUGGAAGUCUAACUGGAUAUUUCUGCCAUCCCACCCAGAUCUUUGAACUCUUAGGCUAAUAAUUCCCAUCAGGCAAAGAGCUGGCUCUCUGGAAGAGACAGACUGCAUACGCCUCCACUGGUGGAAAGGCCCCGGCAAAACUCACAGUUGACAUCAGGCAGUUUACGUGGGAGUGGAUUAUUAUGAGAUCCCCAAGUGUGGGAGAAGUUGUAAUUGGCAUUUGUACGUUACUAGGCAUCAUAGAAUUUAGUUGUAAACAAAUCCAUAGGAAAUAGAUAGGAGUCACCAGAUGCACUGCUCACAGAAUUACUUGUUUAAGGCACUUUUGGGUCUUAAUUCUUUAGAUGCUGUUAAGAGUAGAGGAGGCACCACCUAACACCCCUCUGGAUGCCUUGAAAGUAACAGCACCACAAAAUCCUAGAUACAACGCACAGACUGGCAGAAGACCCAGACAAGCAUAGCUGUUCAAGAUGGUUUGGAUUCCUUUCACCCAACCCCAGCCAUCUGAUAGCUCACCAUUGAGCCAGAGCUGGUCUCCACUCCCCAUGGAGACAAAGAGGCACCUUCCCGGAACAAUUUGUUCCAGACCAAAAUAGGUAUAAAAUGGCUGUGAAGAGCUCUUCUUUUUCUUCUUCUCAAGUUGUGUGCUGAGAAGCCUUGAUGACGGUCUGAACUCACUAGACAGCUGGUGCUUGAUGAGGUGAAUCCCCACCUGAGCCUACAGCUCCUCUGGGGCCUGGCCAUGCAUUGCUGGCAGCAGAGCAAGCUCCCAUUGCUCAAGAAGGGCUUGAAGUUUUGCACCAGCGGGUCAGCACAAGAGUCUCUUUUGAUCUGAACUGGAACGGGAGGCCCGCUCAGCCUCUCAGACAUGUCUGUGGCCCUUAUUCAUCUUCAGGCAUUCAGGCAGUGCUCAGAGCAGUGGAAAGAAACAGAAAUAGCUGCUUUCACUUCUGUAUUGGUUUAUGGGCCCUGCACAGAAACAGGAACUGAAGUAAGGUUAAGCAGGGUUUAAAGGAACAGCAUUUGGUAAAAGAAGGGAGAAACACAUGACCUGGCCAAGUCUAACUGCAGCGCAGCGUACAUAAGCGGUUGCUACAUCCUCAGGAAAACAAGGGCCUGGGGAAACAGCCCAAGGCUGGGCUGCAUAAAGCACAGAGUGCAUGAGCCAGCCUAAGUCCCGCAGUCCCCAUAGACAGAGCUCUGGAAUCACCGUGACCUUCCUCCUGCCCUUGUUAGACUGAAAUAUGUAGCGCAGCUGUAGGACACAGUUCAUCAUUUAUCAAGGGUAAAUACAGUUCUGGAUGGGAACAUGGAGGUGAGAAGUGUUCCGCACACAGCGUUUGCUUGCGUGUUGUGGCUUGCUGCUCCGACAAAACAGAACUCUUUGUCUUUUUGUAACACUGGUGAGUGACUCCUUAUCUUAACCUUGCGAGAUCUUUCAAGUGUGUUCAUGAAUAGGAAGAUGAUUAAGAUGACACAUCAAGGUUUCCUGAAUGCUUAUUGCGAUUCAGCAGCAUCCUCAUGUGUUUCUUAGUUUUUGUUCCAAAACAAGGUGUUUCUAAUCUCUGGUGUGAUUGGUAAACCACAUCCUCUCCCCCUUGGUGGCCCAGCUUACUGUGAAACUCCAGCAGAGCAAAAAGAAAGUGAGUUUAAGCGAGGAGCUGUUGGAGCUACAGCAGAUAAUUUGGCAAACACUGAGGUGACCUCUGCAAAGCAGGCUUCCCCUGCUCUGAACAGUUACUGUGACAAAACCCAAGGCUAAAAAUGAAGUGACCUGACCAAAAAGCUUAGUGCGAGAGAGGCUAAAUGGGGAUUUAGAUGAUAUGUUUUGUAGGGGAGAUAGAGAAGAUAGCUAUGUAGCGGGGGAAGAGUUGAAAGUCUUGCUCUGAACACAUCCAUAAAUCAUCAUGCCAGGUAGGGUAUUUUCUCUUCCCCCGAGUGCUUUGCAGGCUGGGAGUCUGCUUCAGCCACAGCUGCUUCUCUUCAAGAGCCCAUUAGAGCCACAAGACUUGUUUUUGAGCUGUGUAUGAAAGAUGUAAUGCUUGUCUCUGUCAUGCAGCUGAAGAAUUAGGUCUGUAGCCUGACUAAAGUGCCUUUUUUGAGGAGAGGACUCAUAUUUAAUUGCCCUACAUCUAAGGAAAUCUAAUUUCGGAAGCACAAGGACACAGAGGGAAAAAAAGGAAGCCUGAUUUUUCCAGAGUUGAAGUGAUGGCAUUGGUGCAGAGAUGUAUGUCACCAGGAGUGCCUCUGGGCCUUCUGGCCACCACAAUUGCUAACAGAGGGCAGGAGGACAACUGAGGCCAGUGGCUUCAGGGACAAACAUCCCUGGUGUACAGACAGUACCUUUUGCAAAGGGCUGAGGGGUCUACAAGAGGUAGUGGAAUGCAGAAAGUUUUUCCCUGGCAUCUGAUGGCUUUUAGGGCUUCUACACCCUACUUGCAAAGUGAAGUAGUUGUAGAGGUGUCCUUUUCUUCAAAGUACUUUACGCUUUGUGCAAGGCUACAUUUGGGGUAAGUGCGCUAUAGGCACACCCAGUUCAGAAGAGGUAGAGAUGAAUUCACAUUGUAGCCUCGUUUCCUUGAUUUGACAGGGCAGAGGGAGAAAUCCCAGGAGGCAUAUAUCCUGAGAUUUAUUCCAAAUUGGUUAGAAAGAGCAAAUGAAAAAAUCUGUGUGCUUCUUGAUGUGUACACCCACACCUCUGUAACACUCAGCCCUUCUUGCUUUCUGCCCUCCUGCUCCUACCCCAUCAGCUCUGUAGCCCCAAGGACUGUUACCACUUGCUCCUUGCUAUCUGGUGCCCUCUGGUGCUGUAAACACCUGCCCAGGCUGAUCCCAUCACACCCCUGUACAGGUGUGGGGACCAGCACGUCCCCCAACGGGGUACUUGUGAACUUUUUUCUGCUUUUUUCCAGUUGCAGCCUGGCUGUUAGAGAAUCUUCCACGGUGACACGGUGCAGAUCUCUGCCACCUCCUUGGAAGCGGAUCAAACCCAUUUUAUUAAAAACCACCAUUUGACUCCUCAUGUUUUUCUACUGAUUAAGAACAUUGACUUGGCUAACUGAACAAGGGAACCGAUUGUGGCUUGACUGCUUCACACUGGAAAAGCUUUGAUCGGACUGAGUGGGAGUUUAUGUUUAAGGACUUCCUCUGGCUGUGCUCUGUGAUGGAUGGAGAGAUACUGAAGGGAUGAUGUCAGAAGAGUGGGAAGUGAAAGCUGAAGGGGUUUUUGAAGUGGAAGCUGAAGCUGAGUUUUGAAAAAAGAAAUUGGUUAAUGUCUAGAUAGCAGAAAUGACGAUUUAGCAUUUGAGAGAAAGGAUGUGGGACAUCAGAGCAGUCCCAGACCUGGCUGGCUUUAACAGACGUACAUUUUAGAGGGCUAAAGCACCUUUAGUGCCCUUCCUCAUACACACGGAGAAACCCACCGCUGGUUGGAGAGUGAGGCACAAUUGUAAACUCUCUAUUCUAUAUAGUAAUUUUAUCACUGCUGCUGUUUAUCAAGCCAGUUGCUUUCGUGUGUUACCUGUGUGCAGUAAGAAUAAAACUUGCAGGAUAUAGCUACCAUUCCUUAGUAAUAAGGGAGAGAACAGUCAGAAGCACAAAGAUGGACUUCACUGAAAAUAAAAGGGUGAGACAGCCAAAUUUAACUUUAAAUGCAUGAGUAAGCUAGGAAAGGGAGGAUUGCAAAAUCUGUUUCUAUGGCAAUGCCACCCUUCAGUGUUACCUUACACAAUCAAGAUUACAUCAUCAGAACAAACUUUCAUCAGUUCAUCACAGUUUGGCUGUAUGACACUAUUUUGAGCUCAGUGUGGAAAUGAUGCUUUUAUAUAAAUUCGCCACCUCCAGGGUGUUGCAAACAGUGUAGGAAACCCCAUCCAGUCAUAGCCUGCCACAGGCUGCUGUGGGAGAGACCAUCACACCACACCACCCAAAACACUAAAUGGAAAAUUCAGGAGCUAGAGGAUUUGUAGGGGCUUCCUGUCCAAAGUCACCAAAGCAGGAGACUCCACAGCCCCUGGGCAGCCUGUGCCAGUGCUCAGCCAUCCUCACAGAAAAAAAAAAAAGUGUUUCCUGGAGUUCAAGAAAGAUCAAGGACUUGCUUUGGAUUUGUCUGGGCAGACAAAUUUUUCUAUUGUGUUUUUCCUUUGGUAACACAGCCAUCUUGCAUCUGCGCCAGAAGCCGUGUGCAUGAGGCAUAGCGGUACCUCCAAUGUCAAAGUGCUGUAGCGAGACAUUAGGUACCUUCUCAGACUGCAUGGUGCAGGAGAAACCCUUCUCCAGGUCAGACCUGCGCCCAUGAUGUGCCAUGAGGCCACAUACCAGAGCAGUGGGAGAGAUGGAGCAUCUCUGCCAUUUCUCCCAUGUGCCCUGAACAGUGGUGAGUCAAGUGGGGUCUCACUCAGAGCCAGGCAUGCCCAUGCCAAGUUAACCCAGCAGUGUUUCUAAGCUCACGUGAACAGCCAGAGCUGAUUUAUCCCAGCUUUGCACCAUGUGGCAUUUAACUUGGCACAGGGCACUCUAAGGCUGGCUUUGGCACAUCACUGAAUUGUGGCUCGGAGCUGUGGCGAAGGCUAGGCCAGGCUGCCUGGAGGACUGCUGGAUCUGUCUGGCCUUGAGGUGGAGGUUUUGCUGUGUUCACCUGCAUUCCUGGUGCUGCAUGCUGUAACCAAAAGCCCCUGACCCUGGGGCCAAGUCCUGGGCCUCUGCAGCAGUACUAGAUCUGCAGCAGCUGCCUUACACAGCCUUGACUAUUAAAAUAUCUUCACUUUUAUU